rnacentral:rRNA from 1 species
ACCUCUUCAGCUGUGCGCCUCGGCUGCACGCUGUCGAACCUUCUCACACCUGUGCACAACUCGGUUGCGGUCCACCCGUGGGUCGCUUCCGCUUCAACAUACCACAACCAGUCUCGGAUGUCAACAAACUAUACAAAUAACAACUUUUAACAACGGAUCUCUUGGCUCUCGCAUCGAUGAAGAACGCAGCGAAAUGCGAUAAGUAAUGUGAAUUGCAGAAUUCAGUGAAUCAUCGAAUCUUUGAACGCAUCUUGCGCUCCUUGGUAUUCCAUGGAGCAUGCCUGUUUCAGUGUCACGUAAACCCUCACACUUGUGAUGUCAAAGUCACGAGUUGUGGAUUUGGACCGUGCCGUCAAUGGCUCGUCCUGAAAUGCAUUAGCUUGCGCUUGUUAGAGUGCUUGGCACGGUGUGAUAAUUAUCUGCGCCCUCGCCUUAGGCCUCUUCUAAAUGUGCUGCUUCCAAUCGUCUCUACGGACAAAUAAUCAAACUUUGGCCUGAAAUCAGGUAGGACUACCCGCUGAACUUAAGCAUAUCAAUAAGCGGAGGAAAAGAAACUAACAAGGAUUCCCCUAGUAACGGCGAGUGAAGCGGGAAGAGCUCAAAUUUAAAAUCUGGCUGUCUCAGACUGUCCGGGUUGUAAUCUAGAGAAGUGUUUUCCGUGCCGGACCAUGUAAAAGUCCCUUGGAACAGGGCGUCAUAGAGGGUGAGAAUCCCGUUCAUGACAUGGACUCCCGGUGCUCUGUGAUACAUCUUCAAAGAGUCGAGUUGUUUGGGAAUGCAGCUC